rnacentral:rRNA from 1 species
AGUGAACGCUGGCGGUAGGCCUAACACAUGCAAGUCGAACGGCAGCACAGUAAGAGCUUGCUCUUACGGGUGGCGAGUGGCGGACGGGUGAGGAAUACAUCGGAAUCUACUUUUUCGUGGGGGAUAACGUAGGGAAACUUACGCUAAUACCGCAUACGACCUACGGGUGAAAGCAGGGGAUCUUCGGACCUUGCGCGAUUGAAUGAGCCGAUGUCGGAUUAGCUAGUUGGCGGGGUAAAGGCCCACCAAGGCGACGAUCCGUAGCUGGUCUGAGAGGAUGAUAAGCCAAACUGGAACUGAGAAACGGUCCAGACUCCUACGGGAGGCAGAAGUGGGGAAUAUUGGAAAAUGGGCGAAAGCCUGUCCAAGCAAUACGGCGUGGGUGAAGAAGGCCUUCGGGUUGUAAAGCCCUUUUGUUGGGAAAGAAAAGCAGCAGGUUAAUACCCCGCUGUUCUGACGGUACCAAAAGAAUAAGCACCGGCUAACUUCGU